rnacentral:lncRNA from 1 species
UGGCAGUACAGCUGGCAGCCAGUGACAGCUCGCUCCAAGCACCACCACUCAGUGGGGGAGAAUGAGGAAUUAAUGCCAAGAGGUUCUUCUUGGCAUCGGACAGCAUUCACACGAAUGACCUGCUCUUUCUCCCUCCAAAAUUAUGGAUUUUUUGAUUAAUGAAAUGAGGAAGCCAGACUACUUUGUUUUCUACAGCACAUCUAUUAGUAGCUGCAGCCGCAAGGUGUACGUAAAAGCCUAUUAUAAAAAAUUACCAGGCUUGUUUUCUCCUGCCAUUGCAAAAUACUCCCAAAAAAGAAAAUCACAGCAUUCUCAUGAGUACUUCAUCCAAAUACAGGUCUGAUCAUGGUCUGAAAAACUGAAGCAAGUAGCAGAGCAGAAAUUCUGGUGUGAGCAGAACCAAGUGAAUCCCCAAGGGCCACUUCAACACACAGGGCACAGCUAGAUUCAGUAGUUUUCAGUUAGUGUAAGUGACUUACACUUAUGACUUUACAUCAAAAGGGUAAAUAUUUCAGCCAAGAAGUGCCACCAGCCGAAGUUUUGGAAUGAUCAAACUGUAUAGUUCCAGAGCUGUUAAGUGAAAUUAAUGUAAUUGUUGUUCCAAAAUAAUGUUACCCAAUUAUUUGUAAUGGGACAGUUGAACCAUCCAAACAUAGAUAUUUCAUUUCAGACGCAUUUCAACCUGUUUUUCAUAACAUUUUUUUAACCAGAAAAAUGAAAAUAAAGCUAUCAGUAAAACUGGCA